rnacentral:rRNA from 1 species
AACGAACGCUGGCGGCAGGCCUAACACAUGCAAGUCGAGCGAGGACGUCGGUUCUAGCGUCGGACGGGUGAGUAACGCGUGGGAAUGUGCCCUUCUCUACGGAAUAGCGCAGGGAAACUGGGAGUAAUACCGUAUACGCUCUUUUGGGGAAAGAUUUAUCGGAGAAGGAUCAGCCCGCGUUGGAUUAGGUAGUUGGUGGGGUAAUGGCCUACCAAGCCGACGAUCCAUAGCUGGUUUGGGAGGAUGAUCAGCCACACUGGGACUGAGACCCGGCCCCGACUCCUACGGGAGGCAGCAGUGGGGAAUCUUAGACGCUGGAGCCAACCGUGACCUAGCCAUGCCGCGUGAGUGAUGAAGCCCUUAGGGUUGUAAAGCUCUUUCAGCUGGGAAGAUAAUGACGGUACCAGCAGAAGAAGCCCCGGCUAACUCCGUG